rnacentral:rRNA from 1 species
CCUUUCACUACGGAAUAGCUUUUGGAAACGAAAGGUAAUACCGUAUACGCCCUCCGGGGGAAAGAUUUAUCGGUGAAAGAUCGGUCCGCGUUAGAUUAGCUAGUUGGUGAGGUAACGGCUCACCAAGGCUACGAUCUAUAGCUGGUCUGAGAGGAUGAUCAGCCACACUGGGACUGAGACACGGCCCAGACUCCUACGGGAGGCAGCAGUGGGGAAUAUUGCACAAUGGGCGCAAGCCUGAUGCAGCCAUGCCGCGUGAAUGAUGAAGGCCUUAGGGUUGUAAAAUUCUUUCGCCAGGGAUGAUAAUGACAGUACCUGGUAAAGAAGCCCCGGCUAACUUCGUGCCAGCAGCCGCGGUAAUACGAAGGGGGCUAGCGUUGUUCGGAAUUACUGGGCGUAAAGCGCACGUAGGCGGACUUUUAAGUCAGGUGUGAAAUCCCGAGGCUCAACCUCGGAACUGCACUUGAAACUGGGAGUCUAGAGAUCAGGAGAGGUUAGCGGAAUACCGAGUGUAGAGGUGAAAUUCGUAGAUAUUCGGUGGAACACCAGUGGCGAAGGCGGCUAACUGGACUGAUACUGACGCUGAGGUGCGAAAGUGUGGGGAGCAAACAGGAUUAGAUACCCUGGUAGUCCACACCGUAAACGAUGAGUGCUAGUUGUCUGCAGGCAUGCCUGUAGGUGACGCAGCUAACGCAUUAAGCACUCCGCCUGGGGAGUACGGCCGCAAGGUUAAAACUCAAAGAAAUUGACGGGGGCCCGCACAAGCGGUGGAGCAUGUGGUUUAAUUCGAAGCAACGCGCAGAACCUUACCUACGCUUGACAUGCCCGGACGAUUUCCAGAGAUGGAUCUCUCCCUUCGGGGCCGGUGCACAGGUGCU